CAGUCGCCGCGGUAAUACGUAGGAUGCGAGCGUUAAUCGGAAUUACUGGGCGUAAAGCGUGCGCAGGCGGUCCGCUAAGACGGAUGUGAAAUCUCUGGGCUCAACCCAGGGGCUGCACGAGAAACUGCAGGGCUUGAGUAUGGGAGAGGUGAGCGGAAUUUCCGGUGUAGCGGUGAAAUGCGUAGAUAUCGGAAGGAACACCUGUGGCGAAAGCGGCUCACUGGACCAUUACUGACGCUGAGGCGCGAAAGCUAGGGGAGCAAACAGGAUUAGAUACCCGUGUAGUCCCUGUCUCUUAUAU
rnacentral:rRNA from 1 species